CGGCGGACGGGUGAGUAAUGUAUGGGGAUCUGCCUGAUGGCGGGGGAUAACUACUGGAAACGGUAGCUAAUACCGCAUAAUGUCUACGGACCAAAGCGGGGACCUCCGGGCCUCGCGCCAUCAGAUGAACCCAUAUGGGAUUAGCUAGUAGGUAAGGUAACGGCUUACCUAGGCGACGAUCCCUAGCUGGUCUGAGAGGAUGACCAGCCACACUGGAACUGAGACACGGUCCAG
rnacentral:rRNA from 1 species